rnacentral:rRNA from 1 species
UACAGGGGGUGCAAACGUUGCUCGGAAUUAUUGGGCGUAAAGCGCGCGUAGGCGGUCUUUUAAGUCGGAUGUGAAAGCCCUUGGCUCAACUGAGGAAGUGCAUCCGAAACUGAAAGGCUUGAGUACGAAAGAGGAUCGCGGAAUUCCCGGUGUAGAGGUGAAAUUCGUAGAUAUCGGGAGGAACACCGGCGGCGAAGGCGGCGAUCUGGGUCGAGACUGACGCUGAGGCGCGAAGGCGUGGGGAGCGAACGGG